rnacentral:rRNA from 1 species
ACACGACUACAUUAGAUACCCCUGUAGUCCCAGCCCUAAACGAUGCGCGUUAGGUGUAUCGGUGACCACGAGUCACCGAGGUGCCGAAGGGAAACCGUGAAACGUGCCGCCUGGGAGUACGUCCGCAAGGAUGAAACUUAAAGGAAUUGGCGGGGGAGCACCGCAACGGGAGGAGCGUGCGGUUUAAUUGGAUUCAACACCGUAAAACUCACCAGGGAAGACUGUUACAUGAAGGCCGAGAUGAAGACUCUGCCAGAUUUUCAG